rnacentral:rRNA from 1 species
CUAAGAAUUUUGUCCAAUGGGCGAAAGCCUGAGACAGCGACGCCGCGUGAGGGAUGAAGGCCUUCGGGUUGUAAACCUCUUUCAGGAGGGACGAAAUUUACGGUACCUCCAGAAGAAGCCCCGGCCAACUACGUGCCAGCAGCCGCGGUAAUACGUAGGGGGCAAGCGUUGUCCGGAUUUAUUGGGCGUAAAGGGCUCGUAGCCGGCUCAACAACUCGAUCGUGAAAACCCAGGGCUCAUCCCUGGGACGCCGUUCGAUACUGUUGUGGCUUGGGUCCGGUAGAGGAGAAUGGAAUUCCCGGUGUAGCGGUGAAAUGCGCAGAUAUCGGGAGGAACCCCAGUAGCGAAGGCGGUUCUCUGGGCCGGUACCGACGGUGAGGAGCGAAAGCGUGGGGAGCAAACAGGAUUAGAUACCCUGGUAGUUCACGCUGUAAACGUUGGACACUAGGUGUGGCGGAUUUAUCAACCGUCUGCUGUUCCGUAGCUAACGCGUUAAGUGUUCCGCCUGGGGAGUACGGCCGCAAGGCUA